rnacentral:rRNA from 1 species
AACGAACGCUGGCGGCAGGCUUAACACAUGCAAGUCGAGCGCCCCGCAAGGGGAGCGGCAGACGGGUGAGUAACGCGUGGGAACGUACCCUUUGCUACGGAAUAGCUCCGGGAAACUGGAAUUAAUACCGUAUGAGCCCUACGGGGGAAAGAUUUAUCGGCAAAGGAUCGGCCCGCGUUGGAUUAGCUAGUUGGUGGGGUAAUGGCCUACCAAGGCGACGAUCCAUAGCUGGUCUGAGAGGAUGAUCAGCCACAUUGGGACUGAGACACGGCCCAAACUCCUACGGGAGGCAGCAGUGGGGAAUCUUGAGCAAUGGGCGAAAGCCUGACGCAGCCAUGCCGCGUGAAUGAUGAAGGUCUUAGGAUUGUAAAAUUCUUUCACCGGGGACGAUAAUGACGGUACCCGGAGAAGAAGCCCCGGCUAACUUCGUGCCAGCCGCCGCGGUAAAAC